UACGGGGGGGGCAAGCGUUGUUCGGAAUUACUGGGCGUAAAGGGCGCGUAGGCGGCCCGUUUAGUCGGGUGUGAAAUCCCGGGGCUCAACCCCGGAACGGCCUUCGAGACUGGUGGUCUUGAGUUCGAGAGAGGUGGGUGGAAUUCCGAGUGUAGAGGUGAAAUUCGUAGAUAUUCGGAGGAACACCAGUGGCGAAGGCGGCCCACUGGCUCGACACUGACGCUGAGGCGCGAAAGCGUGGGGAGCAAACAGG
rnacentral:rRNA from 1 species